AAGUCGUAACAAGGUUUCCGUAGGUGAACCUGCGGAAGGAUCAUUACAUUUUCGAGGUGCUAACCGCACAUCGAUUCUACCCUUGUCUUUUGCGCACUCAUGUUUCCUCGGCGGGCUUGCCCGUCGAUUGGACAAAUUUAAAACCUUUUUAAUUUUCAAUCAGCGUCUGAAUAAACUAAAUAAUUACAACUUUCAACAACGGAUCUCUUGGUUCUG
rnacentral:misc_RNA from 1 species